CCUACGGGAGGCAGCAGUGGGGAAUCUUGGACAAUGGGCGCAAGCCUGAUCCAGCCAUGCCGCGUGAGUGAAGAAGGCCUUCGGGUUGUAAAGCUCUUUUGUCAGGGACGAUAAUGACGGUACCUGAAGAAUAAGCCCCGGCAAACUUCGUGCCAGCAGCCGCGGUAAUACGAAGGGGGCUAGCGUUGUUCGGAUUUACUGGGCGUAAAGCGUACGUAGGCGGAUUGUUAAGUGAGAGGUGAAAUCCCAGGGCUCAACCCUGGAACUGCCUUUCAUACUGGCAAUCUCGAGUUCGGAAGAGGUGAGUGGAAUUCCUAGUGUAGAGGUGAAAUUCGUAGAUAUUAGGAAGAACACCGGUGGCGAAGGCGGCUCACUGGUCCGAUACUGACGCUGAGGUACGAAAGCGUGGGGAGCAAACAGGAUUAGAUACCCUGGUAGUCCACGCCGUAAACUAUGGUGCUAGCCGUUGGAAAGCUUGCUUUUCAGUGGCGCAGCUACGACAUAAGUACACCCGCCGUCGGGUAGGUACGGUCGCGAGAGUAAACUACAAUAGAGUUAGACGGCGUGUAGACGUUGCGACGGACGACGACGAGGGAGGUUAGG
rnacentral:rRNA from 1 species